CUACGGGAUGCUCCAGUGGGGAAUAUUGCACAAUGGAGGAAACUCUGAUGCAGCAACGCCGCGUGGAGGAUGACACUUUUCGGAGCGUAAACUCCUUUUAUAUAGGAAGAAGAUGACGGUACUAUAUGAAUAAGCGCCGGCUAACUCCGUGCCAGCAGCCGCGGUAAUACGGAGGGCGCAAGCGUUACUCGGAAUCACUGGGCGUAAAGAGCGUGUAGGCGGAUUAAAAAUUCAGAAGUGAAAUCCUAUAGCUUAACUAUAGAACUGCUUCUGAAACUCUUAAUCUAGAAUAUGGGAGAGGUAGAUGGAAUUUCUGGUGUAGGGGUAAAAUCCGUAGAGGUCAGAAGGAAUACCGAUUGCGAAGGCGAUCUACUAGAACAUUAUUGACGCUGAGUCGCGAAAGCGUGGGGAGCAAACAGGAUUAGAUACCCCGGUAGUC
rnacentral:rRNA from 1 species